GAGGAGAAAAAAUAAAGAGAUGGGAUAUAUAACGAUAAGAAAAAAUAGAUAAAAUAAAAUAAAAGAAUAAAACUAGAUUAAAAUAAAUAAAAAUAGGAGCACACCCAUGUAGAUAAAACCAAUAUACCAUAAACUAGUCUACAGUUAUAAGGGUCAUAUAGAAUUCCACAUCUUUAACGAGAGUGAAAAAAUAUAGUGAUUUCAAGUUAAAGGCAACUAAACUCCAACUUUCUCUAUGUUAUUCAGGAUUAGAAUAGCUGUUGAGGCGGGGAGUGAGAAAAAGAGAACAAAUUCUUGUUUACGUUUCCAUAUUGAAGAUACUCCUAUUUAUUCCAAUGUGAUCUUAACUAUUGUUGUUUCCCAAUGAAUAAAUACACCAAAUUAUAGAAGGGCCGUGUUGGAAAAUAAGACCAAGAAACAGUAUUAAAAAGGAAACAAGACAAUUAAAAUGGACAAACCAAAAGGGAAACUAUUACAACUAAAAUGGGAUGGAGGGAGUAAUAAUAAUCUGACUCCAACAAACACUUCAAGAGAGUAACUAUAUUAAAUAAACCUUAAAAUAAAUAAUUGUAAGCAAUAAGUAAACAUUCUACUGAAAAGUCCAAAAUAAGGGAGUCUGGAAAGCAUCAUCAGAGUGGAUUUUGACAUAUAAAACUACCUCAAUCGGGGUUGCCUGGUUUGGGACGUAGAUCUCAAAGAAAAGGCAAUUUUAAAAUUAUACUUGCACAUUUCUUAACUCUCUUGGGUCAAAAACUAUGACCAUUUGAAGUUGGACUAUGCAUAUGAGACAUUUGGACCUUAUGCAUCCCCUCCACACACAAUGUCAUUCAGGCAUCAUUGGCAAUGUUUUCUUAAAUAACUUAUUUACUUAUUUGGUUAUAAAAUGUACUUAUUAAAAUAAAUAAAAGAAUCUCUCCCUAGACCCCGCUUAAUUUUUUGGAGGGAUAUUUUUGCCGCCUAGAUGAGACGCCAGGGGGGCCUAGCGCCUAGGUGGAGCUUAGGCGGAGAUUUUUAGAACAUUGAAAUUGUUGCCAAUAUUGUUAAAAUAGCUAAAAAGAUGCAUAAAAAAACUUUACCAAAAUGAGUUUGAUGAAUUGCAAACCAUUUAUAUGACAUUAAAAAUUCAAAGAUGCAUCAUUAACAUCGCAUCAGACUUUUAAAGAGGACUCUGUUUUCAACAGAUGGGAUCAUAUUUUACCAUUGACCUCAGUGUUCUAAAAAUCUCCGUCUAGGUCAGCCUAGGCCCCGCCUAGGCGCUAGGCCCCCUGGCGCCCUGCUUAGGCUCUAGGCCCCUCUCUGGCUCCCCGCUUAGACGCUAGACCCCCUAGUGCCUAGGCGGAGAGUUUUUUAUUUAUUUUAAUAACUAUCCAAAUCAGAUCUUAAUAAAUUUGUUUUUCUAAUGAUUUACCAUAUUCAUAAUGUAGAUUGUAGCAUAUCAAAUCACAACAAGAAGUGAAAAAGAUCAAGUCAAAAUAGAUAAUUUUAUUAUAGUUGUAAUUUUUUGAACUUGUACCAACUUCAAAUUAUAUAAAUGAU
rnacentral:lncRNA from 1 species